rnacentral:SRP_RNA from 16 species
UGAUGACACCAGCCGGAAGGGAACAGCGGCAGGGCAAGGGGGGCAACGACGGUUGUUUGAGGGAGCGCGGGCCUGGGUACGGGUUC